GACAAACGCUGGCGGCGUGCUUAACACAUGCAAGUCGAACGCUGAAGCCCAGCUUGCUGGGUGGAUGAGUGGCGAACGGGUGAGUAACACGUGAGUAACCUGCCCCCUUCUUUGGGAUAACGCCCGGAAACGGGUGCUAAUACUGGAUAUUCACUGGCCUUCGCAUGGGGGUUGGUGGAAAGGUUUUUUCUGGUGGGGGAUGGGCUCGCGGCCUAUCAGCUUGUUGGUGGGGUGAUGGCCUACCAAGGCUUUGACGGGUAGCCGGCCUGAGAGGGUGACCGGUCACAUUGGGACUGAUAUACGGCCCAUACUCCUACGGCAGGCUCAUUGGGGAAGAAUUAUCAAUGAGUUGUUUGUCUGU
rnacentral:rRNA from 1 species